GUUAAGGUCAACAACACGUUGAAUGCACCAGUUCCCAAUGGAUCACUGAAGUUAAGCAACGUUGCACGUGGUUAGUGCCCUGAUAGGUCACCAUCUGGACAAUAGCGGUUUGCUAGCU
rfam:Asian citrus Psyllid, Diaphorina citri - Florida Strain, whole genome shotgun sequence.